UACAGAGGUCCCAAGCGUUGUUCGGAAUCAUUGGGCGUAAAGGGCGUGUAGGCGGUUUGUUAAGUCAUGUGUGAAAUCCCUCGGCUCAACCGGGGAAGGACGCAUGAAACUGGCAAGCUAGAGUACCAAAGAGGAGAAUGGAAUUCCUGGUGUAGCGGUGAAAUGCGCAGAUAUCAGGAAGAACACCCGUGGCGAAGGCGGUUCUCUGGGACGGUACUGACGCUGAGACGCGAAAGCGUGGGGAGCAAACAGG
rnacentral:rRNA from 1 species